rnacentral:rRNA from 1 species
CAGCCGCCGUGGGAAUACGUAGGUGGCAAGCGUUGUCCGGAAUUAUUGGGCGCAAAGGGCUCGCAGGCGGUUUCUUAAGUCUGAUGUGAAAGCCCCCGGCUCAACCGGGGAGGGUCAUUGGAAACUGGGAGACUUGAGUGCAGAAGAGGAGAGUGGAAUUCCACGUGUAGCGGUGAAAUGCGUAGAGAUGUGGAGGAACACCAGUGGCGAAGGCGACUCUCUGGUCUGUAACUGACGCUGAGGAGCGAAAGCGUGGGGAGCGAACAGGAUUAGAGACCCCCGUAGUCCCUGUCUCUUAUCC